rnacentral:rRNA from 1 species
CCCUUCAGAGGGGGACAACAGUUGGAAACGACUGCUAAUACCGCAUACGAUCUAAUCUCGGCAUCGAGGAUAGAUGAAAGGUGGCCUCUACAUGUAAGCUAUCACUGAAGGAGGGGAUUGCGUCUGAUUAGCUAGUUGGAGGGGUAACGGCCCACCAAGGCGAUGAUCAGUAGCCGGUCUGAGAGGAUGAACGGCCACAUUGGGACUGGGACACGGCCCAG